AGGGCAGUAGCUCCAACGGUAGAGCGGUUGAUUCCAAAUCAAUAGGUUGGGGGUUCGAAUCCCUCCUGCCCUGCCA
rnacentral:tRNA from 2 species